AGAAGUGGUCCAUUAUGAAAGCAACCACCACGAUUAAAUAAUGGAUAUUGGAAGUGAGAGAUAUCUUACUCCAUACUCUCUUUAUAACCAACAUUGUUGAUGCUAUGUGUUAGUGACUUCAAAGUUCUUUUUUAUUAAUAAAAAGAAAUAUUAAAACUUAUUAUUUCUAUAAUAUGAAUUAUAGAUAUUUUAAACCAAU
rnacentral:lncRNA from 1 species